GGGGGAGCCUGAUCCAGCCAUGCCGCGGUGGUGUGAGAAGGCCCUCGGGUUGUAAAGCCCUUUCAUCGAGGAAGAACGCCUAGGUGGUUAAUACCCGUUAGGACAGACAUCUCUCGUGACAAGAAGCACCGGGCUUACUCCGUGCCAGCAGCCGCGGUAAUACGAGA
rnacentral:rRNA from 1 species